rnacentral:rRNA from 1 species
AGGACGAACGCUGGCGGCGUGCUUAACACAUGCAAGUCGAGCGGAAAGGCCCUUCGGGGUACUCGAGCGGCGAACGGGUGAGUAACACGUGAGCAACCUGCCCUUAGCUUCGGGAUAGCUCCGGAACCGGAAUUAAUACCGAAUAUGACUUUGGUCUGACAUCAGCAGAAGUGGAAAGUUUUCGGUCUAGGGAUGGACUCGCGGCCUAUCAGCUAGUUGGUGAGGUAACGGCCCACCAAGGCGACGACGGGUA